CCUACGGGAGACAGCAGUGAGGAAUAUUGGUCAAUGGGCGGAAGCCUGAACCAGCCAAGUAGCGUGCAGGAUGACGGCCCUACGGGUUGUAAACUGCUUUUAUACGGGAAUAACGCGCCUUACGUGUAGGGCUUUGCAUGUACCGUAUGAAUAAGGACCGGCUAAUUCCGUGCCCGCAGCCGCGGUAUACGGAAGGUCCGGGCGUUAUCAGGAUUUAUUGGGUUUAAAGGGAGCGUAGGCCGGAUGUCAAGCGUGCUGUGAAAAGUGCGGGGUCAACCCGGGCCUUGCAGCGCGAACUGGCGUGCUUGAGUCCGCGGAAAGCAGGCGGAAUUCGUGGUGUAGCGGUGAAAUGCUUAGAUAUGACGAAGAACCCCGAUUGCGAAGGCAGCUUGCUGCAGCGGAACUGACGCUGAUGCUCGAAAGCGCGGGUAGCGAACAGGAUUAGAUACCCCAGUAGUC
rnacentral:rRNA from 1 species